AAUGGACGAAAGUUUGAUGGAGCAACGCCGCGUGAGUGAAGAAGGUUUUCGGAUCGUAAAAUUCUGUGUGGAGAAGAAUGUAUCUGAUAGUAACUGAUCAGGUAGUGACGGUAUCCAACCAGAAAGCCACGGCUAACUACGUGCCAGCAGCCGCGGUAAUACGUAGGUGGCAAGCGUUGUCCGGAUUUAUUGGGCGUAAAGCGAGCGCAGGCGGUUUCUUAAGUCUGAUGUGAAAGCCUUCGGCUCAACCGAAGAAGUGCAUCGGAAACUGGGAAACUUGAGUGCAGAAGAGGACAGUGGAACUCCAUGUGUAGCGGUGAAAUGCGUAGAUAUAUGGAAGAACACCAGUGGCGAAGGCGGCUGUCUGGUCUGUAACUGACGCUGAGGCUCGAAAGCAUGGGUAGCAAACAGGAUUAGAUACCCUGGUAGUCCAUGCCGUAAACGAUGAGUGCUAGGUGUUGGAGGGUUUCCGCCCUUCAGUGCCGCAGCUAACGCAUUAAGCACUCCGCCUGGGGAGUACGACCGCAAGGUUGAAACUCAAAGGAAUUGACGGGGGCCCGCACAAGCGGUGGAGCAUGUGGUUUAAUUCGAAGCAACGCGAAGAACCUUACCAGGUCUUGACAUCCUUUGACCACUCUAGAGAUAGAGCUUUCCCUUCGGGGACAAAGUGACAGGUGGUGCAUGGUUGUCGUCAGCUCGUGUCGUGAGAUGUUGGGUUAAGUCCCGCAACGAGCGCAACCCUUAUUACUAGUUGCCAGCAUUUAGUUGGGCACUCUAGUGAGACUGCCGGUGACAAACCGGAGGAAGGUGGGGACGACGUCAAAUCAUCAUGCCCCUUAUGACCUGGGCUACACACGUGCUACAAUGGAUGGUACAACGAGUUGCGAGACCGCGAGGUUUAGCUAAUCUCUUAAAACCAUUCUCAGUUCGGAUUGUAGGCUGCAACUCGCCUACAUGAAGCCGGAAUCGCUAGUAAUCGCGGAUCAGCAUGCCGCGGUGAAUACGUUCCCGGGCCUUGUACACACCGCCCGUCACACCAUGAGAGUUUGUAACACCCAAAGCCGGUGAGGUAACCCUUCGGGGAGCCAGCCGUCUAAG
rnacentral:rRNA from 1 species